AGAGUUUGAUCAUGGCUCAGGACGAACGCUGGCGGCGUGCUUAACACAUGCAAGUCGAACGGUGCACCAGGGCUUGCCCUGGGGAUCAGUGGCGAACGGGUGAGUAACACGUGGGCAACCUGCCCCAGACUCUGGGAUAACUCCGGGAAACCGGGGCUAAUACCGGAUACGACCUCCUUGGGCAUCCUCGGAGGUGGAAAGUUUUUCGGUCUGGGAUGGGCCCGCGGCCUAUCAGCUUGUUGGUGGGGUAAUGGCCUACCAAGGCGACGACGGGUAGCCGGCCUGAGAGGGCGACCGGCCACACUGGGACUGAGACACGGCCCAGACUCCUACGGGAGGCAGCAGUGGGGAAUAUUGCGCAAUGGGCGAAAGCCUGACGCAGCGACGCCGCGUGAGGGACGAAGGCCUUCGGGUUGUAAACCUCUUUCAGCAGGGAUGAAGCGAAAGUGACAGUACCUGCAGAAGAAGCACCGGCUAGCUACGUGCCAGCCGCCGCGGUAAUAC
rnacentral:rRNA from 1 species